AGAAAGCUAAGAAACAGAAAAAAAAAAAAAACCCCAAAAUAAACACAACCAGGCAGACUAGGACCAAAAAAGUGUAGAGAACUGUUCCACUUCAAGUAACCAUGUGAACAGCCAGUAGCUUUAGGGUGAGGCUGGGGGCACAAAACUAUCCGCUAAGUCCGGCUGCUGACAAAUAACCAACCAUGUAGACACUGAAUUUUAUAUUAACAGGGUACACCAAUGGUGAUGAUUAAAAUAAAAUCAACAAAUUGUGGGAAAAAAAAGAUAAAAUGCAAUACAAAUUAGUCUUUGUUAAAAAAUAUUAAAACAAAGAUAAGACAAUGAAAUAGAAUUAAAUAGGGCUAUCAGCAUAGAUCUGACCAUCUAACCACAUAUGCCACACAAUUUCUAGUGAGACAAAGCUCUGUUUUCCCCCCUUUAUUGAACACAAACAUAAUUAAAAGGGGCUGCAGAAAAAGGAGGUUGUAUUUACUAUCUGUGUUCUCCAUCAGAAUAUAUGAUAAAUGACAAAUCUGUUCUGCUUACCAUCUUCUUCCUAACACCUGGAACAAGUCCUAGAUAUGGCAGAUGCUCAAAGAAAUUUGCUGAAUCAAUGAUAUGAUCAGAAAUAAUGUAUUCCAUUAGUUCUACUAGAAUGCCACAUUACCUUCUCCCCCCUCUUAAUACCACCAUGCUAUUAGAAUUCUGUAACUUCCUCAACUCUUACAACCUUUGCUUAUGCUUAAUUUUUAGCAACCUACUUCUAUGGCUUCACCCUGAACCUAAAACUAUUCCCACUUUAAGUUAUUAAAUAAUAAUAUAGGUAUUUCUGGCCACUCAUUCAACAGAUAUUUAUUUAUAUACCUAACUAUACAUACAUACACAAUGUCAGUAAGUAACCACAACCUUUCUCUUCAACUCCUAUUAUAACUCUUUAUCCUCACCUAAACAUCUAAGCCCCACUACCUUGCAGUCCCUUACACUGCUGCUCAUGGCUUUCAGCUGUUCUCCCAAGGAGAGACAGAGAAGACAGAGAUCAGACAGGUAUGUAAAAUCUUUGAAAAAAGUAGGCCUCACUGCUGUGUGCUGACAUAAAAGCAAAGUGAAACCCCAAGUCCAGCUCAAAGGAGUACUCUGAAAUUUUCCUGAAGUUGACACAGCCCCUUUCCCCACAUUAUGAGAUCUACAAUCCCCUUCCUGUUAGGUACUCUCUCAUCACCAUAACAACACACAUUCCAUAAAAAAACAGGGGGGUCAUUAAAGAAAGGCAGGAGAGAACUUUUGAUGCUGCUUUUCAGGCAUCCCAUUCAGACUUAACCUGGACAUUAAUACAGAUGCCUGGUGGAUGGCAUUGUCACUCAUGUUGAAGAAAUCUUCAAAGACAGGCCAUGAUUCAGGCUCAGAACACCCUACCCAAGCUCCCAUAGAGACCAAAGAUGUUGUUACAAGAGAGGAGAAGACUAUUGAACUGUGUUUCCUAAAAAAGAUAUGCUUCUGUACCAGCACCUCAGAAUGCAGUUUUAUUUGGGAAUGAAGUCAUUGCAAAUAAAAUUGGUUAAGAUGAGGUCAUGUUGGAGUAGAAUGGAACCCCAAUCAAAUAUGGUAUCCUUAUAAGAAGACAGCCAUGUGAAGACACAGAGACACAGGGAGAAUGCCAUGUGAAGAUGGAAACAUUAAAAUGAUGCCUUUAAAGCCAAGAAACCCCAAGGAUUGCUGGCCGUCACCAGCAAGUAGAAGAGAGGCAUGAAUUCUCCCUCAGAAAGAAUCGAUUCUGCUGACAUCUUGAUC